rnacentral:rRNA from 1 species
CGACGUGAGUAACCUGCCUCUAAGAGGGGAAGUAACAUUCUGAAAAGAAUGCUAAUACCGCAUAACAUAUAUUUAUCGCAUGGUAGAUAUAUCAAAGAUUUAUCGCUUAGAGAUGGACUCGCGUCCGAUUAGUUAGUUGGUGAGGUAACGGCUCACCAAGACCGCGAUCGGUAGCCGGACUGAGAGGUUGAACGGCCACAUUGGGACUGAGACACGGCCCAG